AGUUGGAUUGUAUCUGCUCAGUGCUUUAGUGGACCUAUCACAGGUCAGCCAGUGUGACUGGGGUGGCGCCGGCCUUGCUACCCUUUACUGUUACAUGAGUGAGACCUCCAGCGAGCGAGGGAACAUGGUGGCCACUGGAGAGCCUGGGAGCUAUGGGUUUAUGCAUACUUUCCGACGCUCGCCCCGGAGCUCGAGGUGGAGGUGCCUCUUGUGAUUCCUUACUCUCACGUAUUUGGGGGCCGGUGUCGGCUGAUGGCUCGGGAGACUCUACCCUACCUACGGCAGUUCUUUGAUACGGUGCAGGCGACCGAGAUCACUUGGCAACCCUGGGCGCCCUUGGGAGGAGAUAUCCAUUUCCGAUUCCCUGGGGGGUGGGCCUCUUCCCUAUACAGGACUUUAUUUGAAGGGCUGGUUGGCAGGGCCUGGUUUCUGGGGGAUCGUUUCAUGCGUCAGAUGAUGGGCGUCCCUGAUCAGAGUAUCCCCUCAGCACCUCCAGAGGACAUGCGGUCUACUGAGGGACUCACUCUCGAGGAGGUCGACGUCGUUAUGUUGGGUACUGAUGCGAUUCUGCACAUGGAAGAGGGGGGUACGCGACUUACCACCAUACGUACCUGAUGCCCCCACUGAUAGGUAUCCAUACUCCCACGAGGAGGGCCGCUGGUGCAUCACCGUUGAGUCGAGUCCAGGCUACAGAUAUGCCUUCGACUAGCAGGGCCGGUACAUCGAGAGGUGGUGCUGGACAGAUUCUCCCGAUUCCCCCGACUUAUUAGCAUGCUGAGUGGCCAGAUCUUCCGACCGAGCUGACAGGUUGGCGGUAUGGGACAUCCUACCCAAUUGUAUUAGAGCCUCCAUUGCCUGAUCAUCG